rnacentral:lncRNA from 1 species
GAUUAUUUGGAGCCUCAGUACUAGGCAGAAUCCCAGAAGGAGGAGGCACCGAAGGUUGAUUAUUUGGAGUUUCAUUACGCUGUAUGAUAGGAACAUAUUUAUGCGGCUUAGUUAGCUUGUUCUUGUGCAUUUAUAUUGUUAUUUCUUAGUCAAUUAUGUAUUUUUAAGCUAUUUUCAUGUGUUUGAAGGUCCUAAUAACAAAGUUGGCAAGAAAGUGCAUUUUGGUGCAUGUUGGAGCAUUUUUAGCCAAGAUUGGAUAGUGCAAGCAUGGAGACAUGAGGAUGGACGUUUUUGAAGAUUAGAAGGCUGGAAAUCAGCAUGUGUGUGUGCAAAUGUGUUGAUUUUGGGCUGAAAUGGUGAAGAGCAUGUGUGUGCACGUGCAAAGACAACAUGCAUACACACUCAUGGACAACAUGACACAUGGGCAAAGAGAAAGACACACCAUGGACAACUUGGCAUGGGCAGAAAAGAGGUGGAUUGGUGGCUUAAAUGAUGAAGAACAUGUGUGUAAAUGUAAAGGAGAAACAUGGCAGAAAAUGUGUUUGUUUUGUGGCUGAAAUGAUGGAGGUCAUGUGUGUGCAAAUGUAAAGGGAAACAUGGACAACACACACCCAUACAAACUGCACAUGCAAGGAAUUGAAGUGGUCCUCUCCUUAGCCUAUAAAUACAUCCACCAUUCCCCUUCUUAAAGAGAAUCUUGAUCCAUCAAAAAGAGCUUCAUUCACAAACACAAGUCCCUUGCCAUGAGCUCCAUUCCAUUUCAUCCAUACAUUUAAACACAUCUCUAUACACUUCCAUUUUCCAUGCCAUGAGAUCCAUUCCAUCCAUACAUCCA